CGGAAGAGAAUGCUGGCAGGGAA
rnacentral:piRNA from 1 species